AGAGACGUAUAAGAGAGGGACCGCUAACUCAUUUUCGCGCCAAAUUAUCUUCAUGUUUUCGCAGCGCCCUCACCGGGAGGCAUAGAAAGACUUCCGGUCGUAUUAGCUGCAGUGUUUUCAUCGAAGACUUUGGGGUAUGUCAGAAAUCACUCUUCUCAACAACAGACACAGAUUGCAAGCAGAGGAAAUGAAGAAUUAAUGCAUAAAUUUUUAUGGGUGAAUUUAUCCUGACCACCAUAAAUCUAUUAAAGUAACAGUACCUCUCUUGAUUGAUUCUACAAGAUUCUGAAGUUGUUUUCUCAAAAGACCUUGACCUGCUUCAUAAGGGUGUUUUAAGCGAGA